rnacentral:rRNA from 1 species
UGGGGAAUAUUGGACAAUGGGGGAAACCCUGAUCCAGCGACGCCGCGUGAAGGAAGAAGGCUUUCGGGUUGUAAACUUCUGUCGUCAGGGGCGAAGGUGCUGCAGUGAACAACUGCAGUACUUGACGGUACCUGAGGAGGAAGCACCGGCUAACUCCGUGCCAGCAGCCGCGGUAAUACGGAGGGUGCAAGCGUUGUUCGGAAUUACUGGGCGUAAAGCGUGUCUCGGCGGAUUAGUAAGUUAGGUGUUAAAGACCCGGGCUCAACUCGGGGACUGCGCUUAAUACUGCUAGUCUUGAGUAACAGAGGGAUGAGUGGAAUUCCUGGUGUAGCAGUGAAAUGCGUAGAUAUCAGGAGGAACACCUGUGGCGAAAGCGACUCAUUGGCUGUUUACUGACGCUCAAGCACGAAAGCGUGGGUAGCAAACAGG